GUGCUUAUUUCAGCAGCACAUAUACUAAAAUUGGAACAAUAUAGAGAAGAUUAUCAUGGGCCCUGUGCAGGGAUGACAAGCAACUUAGUAAAGCAUUCCAUAUUUUU
ensembl:snRNA U6 U6 spliceosomal RNA